UAGAUGAUUGGGGUGAAGUCGUAACAAGGUAUCCGUACCGGAAGGUGCGGAUGGAUCACCUCCUUU
rnacentral:rRNA from 1 species